AGAACAUGUGCUGCAGAAAAUAUAAAGUAGAAAGAAAGGACAUGACGGAAGAAAUGGAAAGAGUAGGAAUAGUACAGCCUCAUACCCACAACGAAGGUCCGCUGUUUUUCAAACAACAAGCCAUGGAUCAACAAUGACAUUAAAGCCCUCCUAAGCAGGAAAAAAGAGGGUACUCAUGGCAGGAGACAGUGAGGAGGUCAGGUCAGUCCAAAAUGAGCUGGGGGGUGUGGCUGAGGAAAGCAAAAAACAGCUACUGGGAGAGGCUAGCUGGAAAAAAACUGUGCAAGCUGGAAAAAAAAACUGUGCCAAAGAGGUAUGGGACAGCAUGAACAGGAUUACUGGACUUAAAAAUUCCAGACCAGCCAUGGAGGGCAGCCUGGAACAUGCAGAAGAGCUAAACCGGUUUUUCAACAGGUUUGACUCAGCCCCCCACCCCUGAGAGCUGAGAAACAUAUCAGAGCCUAGAAUCUAUAAGGUUUAUAUUCUGUGAUACUACAUUAUUUUAUUUCACCAUUGCUUCAACUUCUUCUGACAAUCCUAAAGACAAAAAAUCAGAACAUAACAACAGAAACAAUAUGUUCCUUCGGUUGACUGUUAGGGUCCAAUACAUGUGCAACCUGGAAAAAAAAAUACAAAUAAGCAUAAACUAUCAUCAUGUUUUAAGAUUUUUAGCAUGGCCAGAAUCAAAUGACUACCAUUCUCUGAAGAUGUUCUGGUAAUGGUUGGCACACACUGCUUUAUUUGGAAGCAUGUCCUCCACUGCCAAGAAGGGCUUGUGGCUUGUAGUCACAGCGUGACAUGUGUGCUCUUCAAAAGAUAAAAAGGGGAAAAAACCAACAACAUGAAUUAUCACAUCAUCUCAAUCAAAGAUGACUAAACUUCCAACCACUACAGGGUCUUCACACCUAAAAUUUGGCUGCAUACUAAACCUACACCAACUAGAACAUGAUUAGCCGGUUAAGGUACUUGGCACUUAAAUUUAAGCGCGGACACAAAAAUAAACCUUCAAAACCCCACCCAAAUCGUGUAGGGCGACACGCGUCAUCCACACCCUACACUCAGUCAGUCGCUCUUUUGCUUUACGGCGGAGUACAACACAGAAAACGGCUCUCCUUUGUCGGAAGACUUUAAACAAGAACGAAGGAGGGUGUGUUAACUCUUUGAGGUCGAGAGCAUCGCCGAUGAUAUUCAGCAUGGUCAGAAAGAUCCUGCACUUACAUCUACAUUAAGAACCUAAUCUACUGAUGGAGGAACAGCAUUACUGAUGCACUGUACAGAAUGAAAAGUUUACAUUGGGGAAAUGAGAUCUCUUGUUAAUGAGC
ensembl:lncRNA